AGUGAACGCUGGCGGUAGGCCUAACACAUGCAAGUCGAACGGCAGCACAGUAAGAUCUUGCUCUUACGGGUGGCGAGUGGCGGACGUGUGAGGAAUACAUCGGAAUCUACUUUUUCGUGGGGGAUAACGUAGGGAAACUUACUCUAAUACCGCAUACGACCUACGGGUGAAAGCAGGGGAUCUUCGGACCUUGCGCGAUUGAAUGAGCCGAUGUCGGAUUAGCUAGUUGGCGGGGUAAAGGCCCACCAAGGCGACGAUCCGUAGCUGGUCUGAGAGGAUGAUCAGCCACACUGGAACUGAGACACGGUCCAGACUCCUACGGGAGGCAGCAGUGGGGAAUAUUGGACAAUGGGCGCAAGCCUGAUCCAGCCAUACCGCGUGGGUGAAGAAGGCCUUCGGGUUGUAAAGCCCUUUUGUUGGGAAAGAAAAGCAGCAGGUUAAUACCCCGCUGUUCUGACGGUACCCAAAGAAUAAGCACCGGCUAACUUCGUG
rnacentral:rRNA from 1 species